rnacentral:lncRNA from 1 species
GGUUCACGGCAAGGGUGGAACCGGAUUCUGCCCGGAUGGGGAUCUGGAUGGGGGGGUGGGGGGUUGAUUUGGGAAGCAGAGCACAGCAGCCCAAAUUUGCUUGUAAUGUCGGCGGCUACAGAGGAAAGGCCAAGAAUGGACAGAUUAAUAAAGGGCCAUCUACAAGCCACGAAUAAGGCCAUCACCAGAAGCCAACCCCGCCAGUCCUUGAUCUAGGACUUCCAGACUUCAAAACUUUUCUAGCCUGCUGGCCUGCCUUCACUGUCCUGGGGGAGGCUUGGAGAGACCAGGUGGACUGGAGUAGACUGUUGAGAGACGCUGGUCUGGUGAAGAUGUCCAGGAAACCACGAGCCUCCAGCCCAUUGUCCAACAACCACCCACCAACACCAAAGAGGCGAGGAAGUGGAAGGUUCCCAAGACAACCCGGAAGGGAAAAGGGACCCAUCAAGGAAGUUCCAGGAACAAAAGGCUCUCCCUAAAAGACCGCCGCUUCAAAAAAACCUGAGGAAUGGAGUGGGCCAACACUAUCCAGCCACUCUGACCAGCCGAACGAGGAACUCAAUCAAAAUGAGCCAUAGCGGGACCACAAGGGCAAGGAGACCACCACCUUCUCCAGUCUCUCUUCGGACAGCCAGUAAUUCCCGGGCAAGGCCAGAGACUUCAAGUCUAUCUGAAAAGUCUCCAGAGGUCUAACCCCAGAUAAAUAGCCAACAGGGUGUAGAGUACAUUUUACACCCCAAAGAGUGUGCCCCAUGGUGAUGAAAAUAAAGUGAACAUGUUGCAAAAUGA